GCCAGGUACUGAAAUGGAGAUAAAUCUUUCUGGAAGCUCCUGCAAUGGGACCUUGGAUAAUGGAGCAGAGGGGAGAAUUAACGUUUCCGGGGCUCCUCUGUGUUAUUGACUGACAUUGCGACCCUCGCUCGCUCAGAAUAACGCCUCUAAUUUAUUUAGUACCCACUCUGGGUCACUUAACUUGCUGGGUACCUGCUCUUGCUUCUACCUCUGCCUGUGUUCUGCUUAACACGGGGUCACUGAAAACAGACUCUCCUGGGGUAUACUAGGCCUCUGCGGGACAGGACCCCUAAAUGCCAGCCUGAGCCCAUCGAACAAGACGUCUUCAGCCUUGACCACAGACUCUGCUUUCCCUUCUGUCCUGCUCACUGACCUCAGCUGUACUCGGAAUUAGGCCCCUGAGUAUCUCCCCUUUUAUUAUACAAGCAGGGAUUUGGGCUUCAUAUCCCCCUCUGACUGGGGCUCCCUGAAGCAGGACUGUGUCUCCCCUCAGACCGGGGCUCCCCGAGGACGGGGCUCUGUCUCCCGCCUUCUUUACGUCUCUUCCCCUCCAGCUCCACCUCCAUGUUUCAGGAGUGGCUCUACAUUUGGGAGUUGGAGACUCUGCAUGGUACCGUGAAUGCCCAGGAGCUGCUUGCCUCCCCGUCCCUUUUACGGAUGACCUUGGCCUCCAGGAAGCAAAGAAAACAACUUCCAUAGAGAUACCCAGAAGGGCUCUGCCAGGAAGAUGCUGUCAGACCUUUGCUAUCUGGAGGACAACAGGUACCAGCUGGUUAAGCCAAUCAGUGGAUAAAGUCAUCAAAACAACAUCAGAGGAAGGAGACCAGCAGGACUGUCUCCAUAGUUGCCGCAUUCUGGCUUAGGAACACUCAGAACCCUACCGCCCAUCCCGCCUGAGCGUACACUGGGCUGGAGGGAGCAAGGCAACCACCAGAGAAGCCAACUCAAGACUGCAAAUAUCAGCCACAGACAUUCCCAAAGUGAACACUCCACUGGCCGGAGUCUGAAUUCCUGCCUUUUCAGGACUUUAAUGUCAUCAAGAAUAAAAGUACUUUUCUUUUGUCUA